rnacentral:rRNA from 1 species
AUUGAACGCUGGCGGCAUGCCUUACACAUGCAAGUCGAACGGUAACAGGUCUUCGGAUGCUGACGAGUGGCGCACGGGUGAGUAAUACAUCGGAACGUGCCCGAUCGUGGGGGAUAACGAAGCGAAAGCUUUGCUAAUACCGCAUACGAUCUACGGAUGAAAGCAGGGGACCGCAAGGCCUUGCGCGAACGGAGCGGCCGAUGGCAGAGUAGGUAGUUGGUGGGAUAAAAGCUUACCAAGCCGACGAUCUGUAGCUGGUCUGAGAGGACGACCAGCCACACUGGGACUGAGACACGGCCCAGACUCCUACGGGAGGCAGCAGUGGGGAAUUUUGGACAAUGGGCGAAAGCCUGAUCCAGCCAUGCCGCGUGCAGGAUGAAGGCCUUCGGGUUGUAAACUGCUUUUGUACGGAACGAAAAGACUCUGGUUAAUACCUGGGGUCCAUGACGGUACCGUAAGAAUAAGCACCGGCUAACUACGUG